ACGGGAGGCAGCAGUGGGGAAUAUUGGACAAUGGGGGAAACCCUGAUCCAGCGACGCCGCGUGAGUGAAGAAGUAUUUCGGUAUGUAAAGCUCUAUCAGCAGGGAAGAUAAUGACGGUACCUGACUAAGAAGCCCCGGCUAACUACGUGCCAGCAGCCGCGGUAAUACGUAGGGGGCAAGCGUUAUCCGGAUUUACUGGGUGUAAAGGGAGUGUAGAUGGCAUGGCAAGUCAGAUGUGAAAGCUCGGGGCUCAACCCCGGAACUGCAUUUGAAACUGUCAAGCUGGAGUGCAGGAGAGGAAAGUGGAAUUCCUAGUGUAGCGGUGAAAUGCGUAGAUAUUAGGAAGAACACCAGUGGCGAAGGCGGCUUUCUGGACUGUAACUGACAUUGAGGCUCGAAAGCGUGGGGAGCAAACAGGAUUAGAUACCCUGGUA
rnacentral:rRNA from 1 species